GUGGGGAAUCUCGCGCAAUGGGCGAAAGCCUGACGCAGCCAUGCCGCGUGAAUGAUGAAGGUCUUAGGAUUGUAAAAUUCUUUCACCGGGGACGAUAAUGACGGUACCCGGAGAAGAAGCCCCGGCUAACUUCGUGCCAGCAGCCGCGGUAAUACGAAGGGGGCUAGCGUUGCUCGGAAUUACUGGGCGUAAAGGGCGCGUAGGCGGAUCGUUAAGUCAUGGGUGCAAUCCCAGAGCUCAACUCUGGAUCUGCCCUUGAUACUGGCGAUCUUGAGUGUGAGAGAGGUAUGUGGAACUCCGAGUGUAGAGGUGAAAUUCGUAGAUAUUCGGAAGAACACCAGUGGCGAAGGCGACAUACUGGCUCAUUACUGACGCUGAGGCGCGAAAGCGUGGGGAGCAAACAGGAUUAGAUACCCGAGUAGUCC
rnacentral:rRNA from 1 species